rnacentral:rRNA from 1 species
CAGUAGCCGCGGGAAUACGGAGGGGGCUAGCGUUGUUCGGAAUUACUGGGCGUAAAGCGCACGUAGGCGGCUUGGUAAGUUAGAGGUGAAAGCCCGGAGCUCAACUCCGGAAUUGCCUUUAAGACUGCCGAGCUAGUAGGUGAGAGAGGUAAGUGGAAUUCCGAGUGUAGAGGUGAAAUUCGUAGAUAUUCGGAAGAACACCAGUGGCGAAGGCGGCUUACUGGCUCAUUCUAGACGCUGAGGUGCGAAAGCGUGGGGAGCAAACAGGAUUAGAUACCCGUGUAGUCCCUGUCUCUUAUAU